rnacentral:rRNA from 1 species
CAUUCUGACGUAGCAUGUGGUGUUUAGGUUAAUACGUUGAAGUGUAGCUUCGUUCCAAGUCCAAUCAUGAAUAUGGCUCUUAUUUAGCCCAGAGAGGGUGAAAGGCCCGUGUGGACGGAGUGACGCUUUACUGUGUUAACCUUAGAGUCGGGUUGUUUGAGAAUGCAGCCCAAAGUAGGUGGUAAACUCCAUCUAAGGCUAAAUACUGGCACGAGUCCGAUAGCGAACAAGUACCGUGAGGGAAAGUUGAAAAGUACUCUGAAGAGAGAGUUAACAGUGCGUGAAACCGCUUAGAGGCAAACGGGUGUAGUCAAGCUGCAAGCCCAUUGAAAUAGGGGGGCCAGAAUGGCGUGAGUCUGAGCACUUAGAGCUGACGACAAGGUACACUUAUGAUGGUGUAUUCGGUUCGCAAGGACUGAAUCUGUUGUUGCAGGCUUUGUCGUUGGUUGCUCUGCUGGCCCUCACACUGUCUUUGGGAGUAUGUCACGACCGUCGUUGCUGUCGGUCUGCUUCGUCUAAACCGCAUUAUGAGUAGUCUUGUGCUUCUCGUGGUGUGGAGGCAGGUAGCCAGGUCAAUUCUUUCGAGAGUCGAACUGGUGUUAAUUUGCUGGACGGAGUGGUACCUGUAACUGUGCAGUGCGGCGGGGCUGGCGGUGCAAUGGUUUCUGGUCGCGUUGAGAACCUGGCGUGGCGUGGGUCUGGCUGCUUGUUGCUAUCUGAGAUAGCCUUGUGGCGGCUCUGCUGCGGCAGAUUUUUUUAGCGUCUGGGCAUUCUUUGCGUUGAGCCAAUAGUCUGUGGCGUAGUGGUAGACGAUCCACCCGACCCGUCUUGAAACACGGACCAAGGAGUUUAACAUGUGCGCGAGUCAAUGAGUACUGCUUAGCAUACGAAACUCAAAGGCGCAGUGAAAGUAAAGGGUGACUUUGUUGCCUAAAGUGAGAUCCCGCUAUUUCUUGAGUGUUUUGAUCAGACGAUAGAGUGGUGGGCGCAUCACCGGGCCCGUCCCAUGGUGUAAUGGGCUUGCUUAGCGGCACCGGGCGGAGCAAGAGCGUACAUGUUGGAGACCGGAAGAAUGUGUGUAAACAUAUAUGCGCAUGG